AACUAACUUUAUACAGUGCAGGGAACGGAACGCAUGAAUUUAUUCUAAUGUUCUUCACAGUCUUAAGUUCUUAGGUUCUUAUUAUUUAUAUGGAUAAAAAGCUUGGUGUGUUCUGAGGCUCAAUGUGAAUAUAUUUAGCUGACCACAUGACCACCUACCAACCAACAAGCCGCCGCCAGGUCAUCGUAUGACGUAUAUAAAUCGCCAUAUACAAAAAUGAUUAAUUCAGCAGAAUUAUAUUAAGAGUGAUUUAUUGUUCAAGUCUAAAUAAGUUCGAGGAGAUAAAAAAAAUCGAGUACUUAUUCAUUAUUCAAAUAAAAUCGUUUGGCUUUGAAUAUUAUUUUCUUUUGAAGACGAAAAUGAUAUUUUAACAUAAAAAUUUAUAAUGGAUAUUAAAUAAGCUGUUACAUUCUUUAUGAUCAAUCUCAGACCCUCUAUGAACCCAUUUAUUAGCCGCCCAAAGUCACAGCAAGUAAAUACAAUAGUAUUUAUAAUCUUGGAGUGGUUUAUUUUGUUUCAAAUGGGUCAUGACAUUGUAUUUGCGUCAUUUUUUAAGACACUGGCAUUGACAGUUAAAAAUGUCUAUAUAAAAUGUUCCUGUACUUGUGAAUUGAUAAGUUUUUGUAAAAGUCACACACAUUCCAUUGAUUGGUCGAAAAUUUGCUCUCUAACUAUUUCAAAUCCAAAGCGCAAAAGAAAUCCUUGAUCUCGAUGAUAGGAAAUAAUAGGUGGAACAGGGAGAAGUAAUGUCUCUUUAUCUAAAGGGUGCGUAAACAAACCUUAUAUGCCACUAGCAUACAUGAACAGCACUAUGCCUCUGUGUACAUUCAUUGAAGGUAUGAUCAUAUGUUUCCUCAUUAAUUAACGCCAGGUGCAAGAUCCCAGGUUAUGACAAUGAUACAUACGCGAUCCAGUCGCCCUACCACGAGGCUCUCGUGAACCAGACGAUUCCCCUUAACCCGAAGGACAGGCGACAGCCGUACGAGAAAUGUCACUACUACCGGGAGUCAAACCAGACGGGAACGAUGGAGUGGAUCAAGUGCACCCAGUGGGUGUAUGACCGCAGCAUCGUGCGUGAAACGUUCACUACAAAGGAGGACUUGGUUUGUGAUGAUGCAUCAUGGACCUCCCACAUCAAACUCAUCUUUUACAUCGGUGUAUUGGUCGGGGAUAUCGGCUUCGGGCUCAUCGCCGACUUCAUUGGCAGACGUAAAACUUUAAUGGCUGCCGUCCUGCUCUGGAAUGUGUCUGGUUUCGCGCUCAGCUGGGCUCCAGACACCAUUAGCUUCAUCAUCUUGGAGUUCAUUGUUGCUGCUGCCCAACAUGGAGCCUUCAUGGUGUGCAACGUUAUGUGUGAGUAGCGCGUGUGUCUGUCUGUAAACACAGUUUACAAGCAGCAAGUUUUAUCAAUAAAGAGAUAUGAAUGACUCAUCGUUACACACGAAUCCAUACGGACCGAUAUUGUGUUACAAUCGAUCCUCACGUGUGUGUGUUUCGGUAGUAAUAAAAUGGCUAUACAAAUAAUCUGUCACAUCCUUAGAGGGGAAGGCAUGAUAUGAAGUUUUACAACAGCAGAUGGUGCAUUGCCACAGAAAAACACGAAAGCAAAGCUCACCAAUUACACAAUGCUCUUAAACUAUAUACAACCACAUGCAAAUUAAAUCCGAUUGACGAUAAUGCUAAUUUUUCACGCUGAAGCGGUUUUCAAACGCUAGCUAUUAAUAUAUGAAUCACGUAAACUCUUAGUGACCCUUUUAAAGUAGUAUACAUGUGUUCUCUCUGCCCUGUCAACAUGACAUAACAAAGAUGACGGGAUAAAGGCAGCAUUAAUAUGGUCAUAAAAUUAAAGUUAUUGUUGCACUUAGUAACUACCAUAAAAAGAAAAGCAAGUGGUACUACUUGUGCAUACGGGUCUUAACCUGACUUUAAAUAUCUAAUGUGAACCUAAAACGAACUAAAGAAACUCGACCUUUAAAUUUAAUAAUUGACUUCUCUACUCUCAUUAUGAAUUAGUUUCUGUGGUUCUUAUUUCCAUUUUAAUUGCAAAUAAAAUUGUUUUUAGGCAUUCAUAACAACCCAUUAAAUGUAACACUUUUUUGUCGAAAUUUAACAUACAUGUAUAACGAAAUAUGAUUAUCAAUAUUGAAUAAAUUUACGAAACAAAAAUACUAUACACAUGUAUUUCUUGUAUAAUUUAUUUAAAAUGUGCAUGAAUUGCUUGGAAAUAAAAACGUGUACUACUCUGUGUGAAUUUUGAAGCUCUGGAACUGGUGGGUCCCAACAAACGAGUUCUCUGUGGCACACUGAUCCACGGCUUCUUCACACUUGGUCUGCUCUACCAGUCCGGGGCCGCUUAUGUCCUCAAGCAUUGGCAAUGGAUUGACCUGGCCAUCGCUGUUCCACUCGUAUUCUACAUUGCCUACUACUGGUGUAUUCAGGAGAAGCGUGAUAUUUGUUUCUGAUAAUAAAUAAAAUCACUGAUGUUCACCACACUAAGACGAGGGAGAGGGUAAACCUAGAGACCAGGAAACUGGUUGAUUCCCGAGUCGCCCCGUUGGUUGAUGAGCAAGGGGCGCUACGAUGAGGCAGAAAAGAUUAUUCAAAAGGCGGGAAAGGUCAACAAAGUGCAAUUGCCGGAAAAAAUGAUCAACCCUUCCCUGGUGGAACGGGAGCAGACCCAGAUGAAGCUAUGGCACUUGUUCUCUACGAAGGAGAUGUUCAUCCGUACUACGAUAUUACUCUUCAACUGGAUAGCCGUGGCGCUGAUGUACUUUGGCGUUACAAUGCAUGCUGGGAAUAUCGGUGGAAACUUCUACUUCAACUUCUUCCUGAAUGGAAUCGUGGAGUUUCCCGCUAUUUUGUUUGUGAUCCUAACCAUGGACAGGAUCGGAAGGAAGCGCCUCCAGUGUAUCGUCAUGGUGUUCGGAGGAAUUGCAACUUUGCUGACCAUCUUCUCUAUUCUAUUUGGAGGGGAUGAUUUUACUUGGCUAACAACCACUCUUUCACUGUUCGGAAAAGUGGGAUCCACGGCGGCAUUUUCUGUGAUCUACGUCAUGACUCUUGAGUUGUACCCAACAGUCCUUCGUAACGCUGCUCUCGGGGGAGGUUCUUGUAUCGGCAGGGUGGGGAGUAUGCUCGCACCCUAUGUUGCGGCAUCUGGUGCAAUGAUCGAUGGCGAUUUCUCUACCGCCCUCCCGCUAGUGAUAUUCGGAUUCGUCUCGACCACGGCGGGACUCCUUGUUUUACUCGUGCCCGAGAGUCAACACCGGAAGUUACCGGAGAGUGUUCAGGACGGAAUCAAGUUUUAUGAGGCGGAAGAGGUCGAAUCGAAACCACUAGACUGUAACGGAGAAGAUAAAUCGUUCCUCAUGAUGUCAAAGCUAGAGUGACAAGAUGGCGAACUUUAUGUAAAGAGAGAUACACAAACACAUGUUAACGUCAUAUACCAAAAACUAAGCCAUCUUUUGUUACUAAUAAAUUUGUGAAUUUCAUGGAUUAAGAUUGAAACGUUUUAAUUAAAAUAGCGAGCUGUGUU
rnacentral:misc_RNA from 1 species